GUUGAUUUCGAUCUGGGACAGCUGUUCGAGAAGGCGGUCAAAACCCGACCCGAGUAGAAACUCGGACAUGCUUGUAGGUAAGGGUCGGAGCCCCGACCCAACACCGUCAUCGUAGAACAGCUCGAAUCCGCGACCUUCUUCGUUCGAAGUAGCACCUUCGGAGGUUGGCCCGCGAAGGACGAUGACCGGGUUGAACGGCGAGCGGUCGCCUUGGUUCCGGCGAGGUCUUCGGGGCCCCGAGGGGCUUGGAGCGGUGUGAUCCGG
rnacentral:lncRNA from 1 species